UUAACGCAAUCCACGGGCCCUUCUGGAUCUGGUCCCCAUUCGAUCCCCAAAUCGCAAGACGAAACCCUAGACUCGCCCCACAGUUUCUUCUAGGUCGCACCAAAUCGAAGCAGAUAGAUCCCUAGGUAUCGAAGAUGGCGGAUCCAGCUGCUCUGCCAAAUCGUGCCUUGUCCGGAUUGUGGCAGGAACGUGGUGACCUACGUUGCUAGGCACGGGCAGAACGCCGGUCAGUGUUUCUACAAGUGCCGGAAUCACAACCCUUCAGCGGGCGGAUGCGAUUUCUACAGGUGGCAGGAAGGCUAUGCAGCGCAUCUGGCCAAUCUUGAAGGAGGAGAAGCUGCUGUGGGUCAAAUCGGUCCGGGUCAGAUGCAGGGCGGGCAAGCUGUCGAAGCUCAAGUUGUGCAGGCUGAUCACGGCCAGCCGGUGCAGCAAAAUGGGCCGCCGGAGGCAUCGCAGGCUGCAUCGUUUGCUAGUGCGGUCGCAUGAUAUAUGCUCGCGGCAGCUCCAGCUGCCGGUCGGCAGGGUGUGACAGUCGCCGACACCGCCUCCAUCAACCUGGUGGUAUCUGUAGCAAACCUGGUAAUUGGGGUGGCAAUUCUGCUAUUGCUGGUGGCAGAUGUUGUCCUGCGCCUGGUUAAUUAGGCGACGUGGCCAUUCUUAUCUGGCCGAGACGGCAGAGUGGUUAACUAGGCAUAGGCUUAGUGUUAUGCAAAAUUACGUUAUGCUUUUCUAGUUGGUCGAUGUGUGGACGUGACGCUGUAACCAUGUAGUGCUAAGUGUGGACGAGCUGCACAUGUAAUGUCAUGUGUGAUACUAUGAAUGAUGAUGCCUACAGUGUGUGAAAUAUGUCUUUUUUUAUCC